AUCCCUUGCCCCACCAUGUACCAGGGACGAGCUGAACUCGGAGGAACAACCAUAAAAAAGACACAGCUCCUGUGUUGAAAGAGCUUCCAGUCUAGUGGGAGAAGUAAAUACUAGAUCUUAAACAGCUGGGAGGAAGCCCCAAAGUGGACUAGAAAAAUCAAUCAAGUAGAGGAGGAAGAAAAAUUGGACUCUGAAGUUCUAAGAAUUUAUUCAAAUGGUAAUUGAAAGUCAAGUGGAGGUGUGAACUUUGAAGCGUCUUUGAAGUAUCUGAUUUGAAUGUUGCUCUCUACUUCAAACUCACCCACAAACUCUGCCAACCAAAGUCUGACAAGAGAACUCCGGUAACCCUAGGGCCUUCUCUGCUAAGAGAAAAUGUCCAC